rnacentral:rRNA from 1 species
GACGAACGCUGGCGGCGUGCUUAACACAUGCAAGUCGAACGAUGAAGCCUUAGCUUGCUUUGGUGGAUUAGUGGCGAACGGGUGAGUAACACGUGAGCAACGUGCCCAGGACUCUGGAAUAACCGCGGGAAACCGUGGCUAAUACCGGAUAGGUGCCGAGGCCGCAUGGUCUUCGGUUGGAAAGUUUUUGCGGUUCUGGAUCGGCUCACGGCCUAUCAGCUUGUUGGUGGGGUAAUGGCCCACCAAGGCGACGACGGGUAGCCGGCCUGAGAGGGUGACCGGCCACACUGGGACUGAGACACGGCCCAGACUCCUACGGGAGGCAGCAGUGGGGAAUAUUGCACAAUGGGCGCAAGCCUGAUGCAGCAACGCCGCGUGGGGGAUGACGGCCUUCGGGUUGUAAACCUCUUUUAGUAGGGAAGAAGCGCAAGUGACGGUACCUGCAGAAAAAGCACCGGCUAACUACGUG